GACGAACCGUGCAAACGUUGUUCGGAAUCACUGGGCUUAAAGGGCGCGUAGGCGGGCAAGCAAGUCGAAGGUGAAAUCCCACGGCUCAACCGUGGAAGUGCCCCCGAUACUGCUUGUCUUGAGGGAGAUAGGGGCGUGCGGAACUUCCGGUGGAGCGGUGAAAUGCGUAGAGAUGUGGCGGAACACCGAUGGCGAAGGCAGCCCCCUGGGCCUGCACUGACGCUCAUGCACGAAAGCGUGGGGAGCAAACAGG
rnacentral:rRNA from 1 species